GCGCACCAGUCGCGAAACCUCCGCAAUGCGCGAAAGCGCGACGGGGCCACCCCGAGUGCCGCCCGCUGAGGGCGGCUUUUCCCCGGUGUAGACAGCCGGGGGAAUAAGGGGAGGGCAAGUCUGGUGUCAGCCGCCGCGGUAAUACCAGCUCCCCGAGUGGUGGGGACGAUUAUUGGGCCUAAAGCGUCCGUAGCCGGCCCGGCAAGUCUCCCGUUAAAUCCAGCGAUCUAAUCGCUGGACUGCGGGAGAUACUGUCGGGCUAGGGGGCGGGAGAGGCCGGCGGUAUUCCCGGGGUAGGGGUGAAAUCCUAUAAUCCCGGGAGGACCACCAGUGGCGAAGGCUGCCGGCUGGAACGCGCCCGACGGUGAGGGACGAAAGCCGGGGGAGCGAACCGGAUUAGAUACCCGCGAAGU
rnacentral:rRNA from 1 species